rnacentral:lncRNA from 1 species
AUCCAGAUCGAGCACCCCUCCUCCUCCCUUCCAGAUCGCAGCCGCCACCUCCUACCCACCGUCCCACCCAUCCUCUGCACCUCUUCUCGUCGCACCCUUCCUCCGCUGCUCCACCCUCCGCCGUCGCCUCCCAGUACCCCUCCACCUCCUCGGUGCGCCGCAGUGCCCCUUCCUCCUCCUCCUCGGCGUGGCGCGGCGGCAAUGCCUCCGUAGGCCGCGGGGACGCGGUGCGCGCGAGGGUGGCGGGGGCAGCCGCGCCGGUGACUGAGGCGACGGCGGCCGAGGGAUGCGGCAGGCAGGAGGCCCUCGCCGCACCGACGAGAUCUCGACCUGUCCCUGAACCCUACCAGCGAGUCGCCUCCCUCGCCAUGGCGAAGCCCUCGCCGCCGCCGCCGCCCAACUCCGGCCUCCGCAUCCUCCUCGCCAAGGACCGCACGGCCACUUCCUCUCCCUCCGCGCCCGCGGUCGUCUCCAGCCAUGCCGACCGUGACCGCAUAAUCGUGAGCCCCCUCCCUCCCCCCAUCUCGUACCCUUGUUUGUGGUUCCUAGGCAUCUACAUCAUUAACCUGGGCAAGACAUGGGAGAAGCUCCAGCUCGCGGCGAGGGCUUGCUGGAUCAUCCGCGCUGCUGCCCUUCCGCGUCGCGGCUAGCUGGAUCGUGACAGCCUCGUCGGGUUGCUUCGCGGUAGAUUAAUGCAAAAAAAUCUGAUCAGCAAUAUAUUGUAUUGUAGAUGUCCAACUAUGUGCAGUACUCAUGACAUAUUUAUAUAAGAGGGAAUAAUACCAUACAAUUCACGUGUUUUGGAUUUGCUGUAUCUUGAAGAAUAUCAAGCAAAAAAGGUUAAUACCAUGUCCAAGUUUAGCAAAACUUAUGUGUUUCAUCUGUUUCAGGGAGGAGUUAUGGGUAUCUCCAUUGAGGUUCGUGAAAGCUUGAAGAUGCUAGACCAUGAAGGUGAUCACACAAUAGAUGCAAUGGAUUUUCUCUCAGCCAGAAUGUUUAUUUUAAAUUUCGUCCUAAAGACUAUAGUUAUAGAAGUGAUCCUAUUGUUCAGUUAAGAGAAAUAUGAUACUCUAAUGCUUUGUUAAUUGGUGAUUCUUUGUUUAUGAUUCCCAAUGUUCUAUGGCUGGAAAAACGUACAUGUUCAGGUGUUCUGGGGUAGUCUGCACCCCUCCGUCCGCAACUUGCAGCCCCUGCAGAAGGGUUGGGCAUUAACAAUAGGAAAAAAUCAAACAACAGCAAUCCAGUUCACUUUCAGAUUUAUAAGAGGCUUUUCAUUUUUCGCUAUGGCACUCCCUAUUCAGUAGCCGGCAGAACUAGCUUAUAUUAUAUUUAUGUAGAUAGUUAUCAUCCCUUUGUGAACUGGAUUGAUAGCCUAAAUUUUGAGCCUGUGUGAACAUAUUAUUUUGAGCCUAUGUGAACAUAAUAUUCAAUUGAUAGCCUAAAUUUCAUAAUAAUUCAUGUCAUCUUGUGACCCGUUCAUUUGGGACACAAUCAGUUGUAAACUGUGAAGCUGAGCGAAUUUGUUCAUUAUAGAGUAAUUUGCAAGUCCUCCGUUGAGCUGGGGCUGUUGACCCGUUCAUUGAUGAUUUUUCUUAUGUCCAUCGGGUGAUGUCAGUUCCUAGAGAAAAUUUCGCCCGCUAUUAGGUGUCAGUCAGCCUGGAACAACCGAGCUCAAUUUAUGGACACUCAUUUCUUAAUUUAGAUCCAACAUUGCAAACUAGUAAGAGUCCAGUAAUUAAUGAACUCAGUGGUGUGCACACUCUUAUGGCUUUUGAGUAGGAUCCUUAGAGCAUUUAAAAAGAUUUUCUCUAAUUGGUAGAGCUAAAUAUGAUGGAAGAAAACUGCAUGGCAUUGUAUAGUUCUGAACGUUGAGUAGCUAGGACACGGUGUCCUUAGACCGCACAAAACAGGAGUCAAUGACACAAAGGAAGAGGACUCCUUGUAAAAUAUGGUGCAUAUUAUUAUGUGUUCUGAUUAGUCGAUGCCUAGUUGCUAUGGAAAAUAGUUGGUAUCUUUGAAUUGAUCUGUGAAUUAAUUGAUUAAUGGUCUGCUAGCAUAUAUGUUUGUCCACCCGUGUGUAUUUCUUCUCUGUUUAUUAUCUUAUACAUGGUCUGCUAGCAUAUAUGUUUUCUUCUAGUUCUAUGGGUGCGUAGAGAGGUCGGUAUUAGUUCAUGAGGGUUUAAGUUUGUGCCAGGUCUUCUAGCAGUAUUAGAUAUAAUGUGUUUCAAAUUCAGUUACAUGACGGCUACUAAGGCCGUAGUGCCCGGGGUAUGGACUAUGGUCUAUGUAGGUGUAUGCUUCGGUUAAGUGGAGUAUGGUCUAUGCGACUUAUAUCGAUUUUAGGUCAGCAUAGCCAUAGCAAGGUUUCUGUAUGGAUACAGUAGCAUUGUUGUGUAUUUUUUUUAUUUGUCUCUCCGUCUUUUGUUUUUUUGGGAGUUCUUAAUUUCUCCAUCAAAGGAGUGACUAGAACAUCUAUUUUGGGAGCUAUGACCUUUAGAUUUACAUUUACCCCAGGUACUACGAAGUGGAGACGCUGGCCGGCGUGGCGUGGUCCCUAGUGCCCCUCGCCGCGGCGAACGCCACCCUCCAGGCGAACGGCACGACAUGCAUGCUGGCGGCGGCGAGCGCCGCCCUGCAGGCGGACAGCACAGUGUGUGCGGUUGCCCAGUGCCCCCCGUGGUACAUCACGGUGGCGGAGUGCGCGCUGUGCUUGUACAACUCGGUGCAGGACUUUGUCACACCGGUGAGUAGGUAAGCUGAUAGUUUUUUGUUACACUCUUUUGUCAGGAUAGUAGUAAUAGUUUUUUGAGGUGUUAAACCCAUCAUUCAUGCAUUGCAACUAAGAAAUCCUUUACUCCUUUCUUUAGGUCUAGCAGUUUGAUCAUGUCACAAAAAGGACCCAAAAUGUCUGCCUGCCCCUCUGAUGAAAUUCUGAAAACAGAACACUGCAUACAUACAUAAUCUGAAGGAAUUGCGAAUCUAAGCCUUGAUCAGCUGCUACUUUUCUAUUACACUGAUCUAUCCCAGUAUCCAGUGUUCAACUUGCCUGCCACGCAACAAACUCAAGAUAUGAGCGCUUACAUAUGUAUACUGUGUUAACAAAAAAACCAUAAUAAAAUUCGCUCUCAUCAUACGCACAACUUCUUUGAUCAAUUAACCAUUUGAGGGAGGGAUAUUAGUGGAAUAAAUUACUAUAAAAUGCUUGAUUUAUUUUUUGGUCAGUAUGACCUGGCUAAUCAUAGUUUGAUAAUGUCUUACUAUUGCACCUUUGCAAGUUCAUAGACCCCAUAUCUCACUAAUUAACUAUUUUGCAAGUAGGAGGGUGAUAUGUUACUCUGAAAUACUUGCUUUUUUUGUCUCUGCAAUUGGCUUAGCAUCCUAAAUUAUUAUGCAUUUUUUGGUAUCCUGCUAGCAAAUGAUUAUUAGCACAACUGAGUUCCAGAUUUGUUUUAGGGGAUACAGUUUUAGAACUUUGUGUUCUGUUUGCCGUUUUUGGGUGCUGACCUUUGGAUUGCCAGAUGUUCCAAGUUGAGUUUUCACUAGAAUUGUUGUUGGCUGUUAGUAUAGCAAUGCAAGCUAUUCAGUAAUGUUAAACCUGCUGAUUAUUAGCCAUCUCUUGUUAAUUAGUCGAAUAAACUACUGUAAAAUGCUUCCUCUCAGGGUUGGUUCUCACUUAGCUUUUCGUUUCCUCUCGCGGUAGCAGCAGCAGAUGGUCUCUACAACAAUGAAGAUCUUUGUAAAUUCUGUUAUUUAAAUACGUGUAGUGUUAGUUCAUACUUUUUUUAAAAUUCUGUUAUUUAAAUACCUGCAGUGUUAGUUCACAUCUUAUUCUUAUAUUUUGUACAGGUGAAGUACAAAGCCAAGUGUGAAGAUAUAUAUGAAGCGUAUCAACAAAGAGUAGCAUAUCUAUUGUAAUAGAAGGCAGUAGUAGGCAUAUGUGGGUUGUGGUGUAGUAGGCAUAUGUGGGUUGUGGUGUAGUGUAAAGAUUGUAAUAGACAAAUCUAAUGUUGGUUUGGACGAAUUUCAUUUGCUCCCUUUGAAA